rnacentral:lncRNA from 1 species
UUUAAUCAAGUUGCUGAUAUCUUACUAAGAAUUGUUAAUACUUUCCAUCUAGGUGAUUUAUAUCCAUGGUAAACACAGGAUGCAUGAUCAAAUUUGUGGGUUUGUGCACGGUGUAAAUAAGCUGUGAGUUAGACGAGAAGGUUGAAAAAUUACAUGAUGGUGACAAGCUAUGUUCUAAUUCAGAGAUUGAAACUUAGCAGUCUAAAGCAGAGACUACAAAUGUGAAUGCAUCAUCUAAGGCAUGCCUACAUAUAGCGUACAUUUUUUCGUCAUACUAUAAUGAAAUGGUCCGAGUAUUGAUUUGGUUUGAUAAUAUUAGAUCCUUCUUUCCAUAUUUAGAAUUUCUUGUCUAGUAGCUGCCACUAGAAAAUGGAAGUGCAGCUUUUCUUUUCUAUUGGGCGUAUUUUGUCUUGG